GCCAGUGUGGUUUAGUGGUUUGAAUGCUGGACUCUGACUCUGGAGACUAGGGUUCAAUUCCUGGCUUGACC